AGAAAUGGCAAAAAGACAAGCAAAAAGACAAAAAAAAAAAAAAAAAAAAAAAAAGAGAGAGAGAGAGAUAUCACGGAAUGUUUAGAAGGUAAAAUACAGUAUACUUAUUAUUUGAAUCUAAAUUGUUUUCAAAUUAAUAGCCUAUCGUUGUUCUGAGAACUGCAAAUUCUUAGCACUUUAGUGAGAAUUACCUUUCAAAUAAAAGACAUCUUAAAAACUAAUUCAAAAAAUGUAAUAGAAAGGGAAGAUAGGCAAAGACAUAUGAGGAAGUAAAUAGUCCAAACAAUUAUUUAGUUGUUAACAUCCCAGCAAAUAUUUGGCUUAAAAAAAAUCAUUUUUUCUUUAAUUUCAGAAAAAAUGUGGUUAAAGUAAUUCCCUUUAGUAAUUCAGCCAUGAAAUAUCAGCUACUGGUAAUGAAUUCUCCUAUAAAGGAUGAUUUAUUCUCAGUAUACCCACAAAUGCUGGGAUGCUACUGGGAACUCCAAGCUGCAAAAGAAUCCUACCUUAUUGUAUUGUAGAAUCCUACUGUAGUGCCACACUCAAGAAAAAUACCCCGUGAGCUACGUAUUAAACAAGAGAGGUUAUUUGUCUUCCCUACACUGGUUAGGAAUGGAUGAAUCAUUUCUCAUUUAUUCUGAAAUAUGUACAUUGUAUUUUUGUUCAAAUUCCAAUUUCAGAUCUUCAAACUUGUGAUACUUUAAUUGAAUCAGUUGCAAACACAGAAAACACUAAACAAGUGAAUUUCCAGAUCUAAAGGAAAUUAAAAAUGAAACACAUUAACAAUAAAAUGUCAGUGGGCAAUUUUCUAAAAAGUGCUCACUUACAUUCUAAAGCAAAAUUAUAUUGCAUUCUCUUAAUAAGCAAAUGUUUUUGUUGAAAGACACUCAAAAUCUUAAUGAAUGAUAUCAAAAAAAUUAAAAAGAAAGCAUUGUUUUGCAAAUCAACUCAUUAUAUCUCUUAUUCUUUUCUGAAAGGACUGAUUUAGAGGUGCCUAUAAGUAAUUAAAACAAAUAUUGAAAACAGUGAAGUCCGGUAUGCAUUAAAAUGUAAAUUAAAAUACUUCCUAAUUCAAUUAUCAAGUAUAUUGAUUUAGAGUUACUAAUUUUUUUAAAAAUUUCAUUGAAAUAUAGUUGAUUUACAAUGUGUGUCAGGUGUACAGCAAAGAGAUUCAGUUUUAUACAUAUACUUUUUAACAUUAUCUUCCAUUAUAGGUUAUUAUAAAAUAUUAAAUAUAAUUCCUGAUGCUAUACAGUAGGUCCUUGUUAGUUAAGUAUUUUUAGAUAUAGUAGUGUGUAUGUUUUAAUCCCAAACUCCAAAUUUAUUAUCUUUUUUCCCCUUUGGUAACCUGUUUGUUUUCUAUGUCUGAGACUAUUUCUGUUUUGUAAAUAAUUUCAUUUGUAUCAUUUUUUUAGAUUCCACAUACAAACGUAAAAAAUUCUUUUUAUGACUGAGUAAUAUGCCAUUGUAAUAUAUACCACAUGUUCUUUAUCCAUUCAUCUGGCAGUGGACACUCAGGUUGUUUACACGUCUUAGCUACUGUAAAUAGAGCUGAUGUGAACACUGGGUGUGUGAAUCUUUUAAAAUUAUAAUUUGGUCCAAAUAUUUGCCCCGGAGUGGGAUUGCUGAAUCAUAUGGUAGUUCUAUUUUUAGUUUUUUGAAGAACCUCCAUACUGUUCUCCAUAGCAGCUACACCAAGUUUAUAUUCCCACCAGAAGAUUCCUUUUUCACUACAUCCUCUCCAGCAUUUAUUAUUCAUAGAAUUUUUGAUGAUGGUCAUUCUGACUGGUGUGAGGUGACACCUCAUGGUAGUUUUGAGCUAUAUGAACAGUUUGUAUAUUUUGGGAAUUAAUGUCUUGUCAGUGGCAUAAUUUGCAAGUCUUUUAUUCCGUUCUGUAGGUUGUCUUUUACUUUGUUUGUGGUUUGCUUUGCUGUGCAAAAGCUUUGAAGUUUAAUUAGGUCCCAUUUGUUUAUACAGUUACUAAUUUUAUCUUACAUUUGAUAAGAAAGAAUUGUGUAUAAUUUCAAUACUUUGUACGAAGGGAAGUCUAUGACUGUGUGCCUAUAUAAAAAAAAUUAAUGUUGAUAAUGAAAUAUCCAUGCAUUCAACGUUUAUUUAUGCUCCUCAUCAAUAUUUAUUUUUUUUCCGUACCUGUGGCAUAUGGAAGUUCCUGGGUCAGGGAUCAAAUCCAAGCUGGAGCUCCAACCUAUGCCACAGCUUUAGCAAUGCCAGAUUCUUAACCCAAUGCUACUGGCCAGGGAUCCAACUGGAGCCUCUACAGAGGCAAGCCAGAUCUUUAACCCAUUGCACUUCAUCAAUAGUUUUUAAAUGUUAAUGGGGAAUAUAAAUGAAGUAGAAGUUCAUUUAUAGUUGAGUAGUAGUAUAUAAUAGUAUGUUGAGAUUUUAUUAUUAAGACUAAUUUUAUUUUAUUCUUAUGCUUUUCCAAAAUUGUAAUUAUUAUUGCUGUAUUCAUGAAAAAUAUCAAAGACUACAUUAAAAGUAACUACAUUAAAAGUAAAAGUAAAAAAAAAAAAAGCACCUCUAAGUUUUGCGAAGGCUUCACAAGCCUUACUCAACUGAAUUAUCUAGCAACUCUUUUAGGAAAACAUAUAAGGCAUUGAGUUUUCUGGAUCAUAAAUAUGCUUGAGCACCUAAAUAAUGUAUCAAUUCUUAAAGAUAUAUAUACACAUAUAUAUGCACUUAUGACAAGUGCAAACUCUUUAAAAUAUGCACACUUAAAAUAUAAAGUUGCACUUGUCACAAUCCCUUGGAGGUCACUUUUUUGAAAUCACUUUAAGGAAUCUUCUCAAAGACUUCAUUUAAAUAAUUUUGGCAAAACUAUUAUCCAUUAGUGCCUUUCUGGAUUUAAAAAAAAAAGACUAUUAAAAUAACAAAUUCAGCCAAAGACAAAUUUUCAGGACAACAUGCUAGACUCUUCUUUGCAAAAUAUCAAAAGUGAAGGAACAGUGUUUUGUUCAUUUGUUUUGUUUUGCUUUUAGUUGCACUUUUUGCUUAUUAGAUUUUUUUUUCUGUGCCCAGAGCAUGCAGAAGUUCCUGGGCCAGAGAUGGAACCUGUGCCACAGUAGAGACGGUGCUGGAUCCCUAAACCACUAGGCCACCAGGAGGUUAUGCUUAUUAGAUUUUUGCAUGCACUUAAAUGGACAUUUACAGUAUGCUUAGAACUUUGCUAAGGACUUGGAAUAUAAGAGUCAAAGAUUCUUUAACCAAGGAGCAUGUAGACUAAAUAAGGAGAACAAAUAGCAAUGGUAUUGUAGUAUGAUAGGCAUUUUACUCUCUGAAUGCUACAUUGUGAUAUGAAGUAGGAGGAAGGGACAAUAAAUCCCUAGGAUGGAGAGUGCUUCUUGAUGUUUCUCCCUGGUGAUGCUAUCUGGAAAUUACAUAUUGAAAAGGUAGACAGGAAGAAUACUGUUAAAUAAAGCAGGGUCAGAUUUCCCAUUGCGGCUCAGCAGUAACAAAUCCAGCUAGUAUUCAUGAGGAUGCAGGUUCAAUCCCUGGCCUCGCUCAGUGGGUUAAGGAUCCAGCAUUGCUGUGAGCUGUGGGAUACAUCACAGACACAGCUUGGAUCUGUCAUUGCUGUGGCUGAGGUGUAGGCCAGCAGCUGCAGCUCCAAUUCGACCCCUAGCCUGGGAACUUCCAAAUGCCAUGGGUGUGGCCCUAAAAAGCCAAAUAAAAUAAUCAAAAACUCUAGUAUAAGUAAAGGGAUCGGGGGCCAAUUUUCAAAAAUCAGGCCUAAAUAAAUGCAUUCAAGAAGUUUGAAGAGGGUGUGUAUGUAUAGAUAUACAUGUACAUAUACUGUGUAUAUGGUUAAGAAUGCUGUAUGAAAAAAAAAAAAUCAUGGGAGUUCCCACUGUGGUGCAGCAGAAACAAAUCUGACUAGUAUCCUUGAGAAUUCAGGUUUCAUCCCUGGCUUCGCUCAGUGGGUUAAGGUUCCCUUGUCACCAUGAACUGUGCUGUAGGUCGCAGGUGUGGCUCGGAUCCCAUGUUGCUGUGGUUGUGGUGUAGGCUGGCAGCUUUAGCUCCAAUUUGACCCCUAGCCUGGGAACCUCCAUAUAACGUGGGAGUGGUCCUAAAAAAACAAACAAAAAAA
rnacentral:lncRNA from 1 species